rnacentral:rRNA from 1 species
UUGAACGCUGGCGGCAGGCCUAACACAUGCAAGUCGAACGGUAACAGGAAACAGCUUGCUGUUUCGCUGACGAGUGGCGGACGGGUGAGUAAUGUCUGGGAAACUGCCUGAUGGAGGGGGAUAACUACUGGAAACGGUAGCUAAUACCGCAUAACGUCGCAAGACCAAAGAGGGGGACCUUCGGGCCUCUUGCCAUCGGAUGUGCCCAGAUGGGAUUAGCUUGUUGGUGGGGUAACGGCUCACCAAGGCGACGAUCCCUAGCUGGUCUGAGAGGAUGACCAGCCACACUGGAACUGAGACACGGUCCAGACUCCUACGGGAGGCAGCAGUGGGGAAUAUUGCACAAUGGGCGCAAGCCUGAUGCAGCCAUGCCGCGUGUAUGAAGAAGGCCUUCGGGUUGUAAAGUACUUUCAGCGGGGAGGAAGGGAGUAAAGUUAAUACCUUUGCUCAUUGACGUUACCCGCAGAAGAAGCACCGGCUAACUCCGUGCCAGCAGCCGCGGUAAUACGGAGGGUGCAAGCGUUAAUCGGAAUUACUGGGCGUAAAGCGCACGCAGGCGGUUUGUUAAGUCAGAUGUGAAAUCCCCGGGCUCAACCUGGGAACUGCAUCUGAUACUGGCAAGCUUGAGUCUCGUAGAGGGGGGUAGAAUUCCAGGUGUAGCGGUGAAAUGCGUAGAGAUCUGGAGGAAUACCGGUGGCGAAGGCGGCCCCCUGGACGAAGACUGACGCUCAGGUGCGAAAGCGUGGGGAGCAAACAGGAUUAGAUACCCUGGUAGUCCACGCCGUAAACGAUGUCGACUUGGAGGUUGUGCCCUUGAGGCGUGGCUUCCGGAGCUAACGCGUUAAGUCGACCGCCUGGGGAGUACGGCCGCAAGGUUAAAACUCAAAUGAAUUGACGGGGGCCCGCACAAGCGGUGGAGCAUGUGGUUUAAUUCGAUGCAACGCGAAGAACCUUACCUGGUCUUGACAUCCACGGAAGUUUUCAGAGAUGAGAAUGUGCCUUCGGGAACCGUGAGACAGGUGCUGCAUGGCUGUCGUCAGCUCGUGUUGUGAAAUGUUGGGUUAAGUCCCGCAACGAGCGCAACCCUUAUCCUUUGUUGCCAGCGGUCCGGCCGGGAACUCAAAGGAGACUGCCAGUGAUAAACUGGAGGAAGGUGGGGAUGACGUCAAGUCAUCAUGGCUCUUACGACCAGGGCUACACACGUGCUACAAUGGCGCAUACAAAGAGAAGCGACCUCGCGAGAGCAAGCGGAACUCAUAAAGUGCGUCGUAGUCCGGAUUGGAGUCUGCAACUCGACUCCAUGAAGUCGGAAUCGCUAGUAAUCGUGGAUCAGAAUGCCACGGUGAAUACGUUCCCGGGCCUUGUACACACCGCCCGUCACACCAUGGGAGUGGGUUGCAAAAGAAGUAGGUAGCUUAACCUUCGGGAGGGCGCUUACCACUUUGUGAUUCAUGACUGGGGUG